GACGAACCGUGCGAACGUUAUUCGGAAUCACUGGGCUUAAAGCGCGUGUAGGUGGCUUGACACGUCUGUCGUUGAAAUCCCCCGGCUCAACCGGGGAACGGGCGCGGAUACGGUCAGGCUUGAGGGAUGUAGGGGGAUCGGGAACUUCCGGUGGAGCGGUGAAAUGCGUUGAGAUCGGAAGGAACGCCCGUGGCGAAAGCGCGGUCCUGGACAUUUCCUGACACUGAGACGCGAAAGCUAGGGGAGCAAACGGG
rnacentral:rRNA from 1 species